rnacentral:misc_RNA from 1 species
GUGAAAGCCAGCUCAGAUUUCAGAGUUCUCAGCUUUACUUUUUUUUUGGUAUCUUAAACAAUGGCAUCCCUAAAGGGAUUUGCAGCUUUGCUCAUUGCAUCACUUGUGCUUGUUCAUUUCACUUAUGCCCUUCAAGAGGUAAUUAGCGGCAAACCACCAGCACCAAGUCCUCAACCUCCAAAGCCAAUAGACUGUACGGGAUCUUGUAAAACGAGGUGCAGCAAAUCGUCACGGCAAAAUCUCUGCAACAGAGCAUGUGGAAGUUGCUGCCGUACCUGCCACUGCGUGCCACCAGGGACUUCUGGAAAUUACGAAGCAUGCCCUUGCUAUUUCAACCUUACUACUCAUAACAGCACCCGCAAAUGUCCUUAAAAAUUCAUAGCAUAAUUUUGUUCUUCGUCUGCAAAUUUAAAUGUACUAGUAUUUCUUAUUGAAUACUACUAUUAUAUUGUGUACUAUGAAACGUGAACUGUUGAUUUUGAAAUUUUAAGUGUAAAAUUGAAGGUUGAGAGUUUUCAGUGCAAUAUUAAAAUGGGUGGGUACUAUUAAAUUCAUUGACUCUGGUCGUCCCAUUUACUGUACACACAACUAAGUGAGCCAUUCU